rnacentral:rRNA from 1 species
GAUGAACGCUGGCGGCGUGCCUAAUACAUGCAAGUCGAGCGAACAGACGAGGAUCUUGCUUGGCUGACGUUAGCGGCGGGCGGGUGAUUCAAACGUGUAUGACCUACCUUUAAGGCUGGGAUAACGUCGGGAAACCGGAGCUAAUACCGGAUAAUAUAGUGAACCGCGUGGUUCAUUAGACAAAGACGGUUUUGCUGUCACUUAUAUGUGGAUCCCCGCCGGAUUAGCUAGUUGGUAAGGUAACGGCCUACCAAGGCAACGAUGCGUAGCCGACCUGAGAGGAGGAUCGGUCACCCUGGAACUGAGACACGGUCCAGACUCCUACGGGAGGCAGCAGUGGGGAAUCUUACGCAAUGGGCGAAAGCCUGACGCAGCCACGCCGCGUGAGUGAUGAAGGUCUUCGGAUCGUAAAGCUCUGUUAUUAGGGAGGAACAAAUGUGUAAGUAACCAUGCACGUCUUGACGGUACCAACUCAGAAAGCACCGGCUAACUACGUG